UCCUACGGGGCGCAGCAGUGGGGAAUAUUGCACAAUGGGGGAAACCCUGAUGCAGCGACGCCGCGUGAGCGAUGAAGUCUUUCGGUAUGUAAAGCUCUAUCAGCAGGGAAGAAAAUGACGGUACCUGACUAAGAAGCCCCGGCUAACUACGUGCCAGCAGCCGCGGUAAUACGUAGGGGGCAAGCGUUAUCCGGAUUUACUGGGUGUAAAGGGGGCGCAGACGGCAGCGCAAGCCAGGAGUGAAAACCCGGGG
rnacentral:rRNA from 1 species